rnacentral:rRNA from 1 species
AUUGAACGCUGGCGGCAUGCCUUACACAUGCAAGUCGAACGGCAGCGGGGGAGAAGCUUGCUUUUCCUGCCGGCGAGUGGCGAACGGGUGAGUAAUACAUCGGAACGUGCCCUGUAGUGGGGGAUAACUAGUCGAAAGAUUAGCUAAUACCGCAUACGACCUGAGGGUGAAAGUGGGGGACCGCAAGGCCUCAUGCUAUAGGAGCGGCCGAUGUCUGAUUAGCUAGUUGGUGGGGUAAAGGCCUACCAAGGCGACGAUCAGUAGCUGGUCUGAGAGGACGAUAAGCCACCCUGGGACUGAGACACGGCCCAGACUCCUACGGGAGGCAGCAGUGGGGAAUUUUGGACAAUGGGCGAAAGCCUGAUCCAGCAAUGCCGCGUGUGUGAAGAAGGCCUUCGGGUUGUAAAGCACUUUUGUCCGGAAAGAAAUGGCUCUGGUUAAUACCUGGGGUCGAUGACGGUACCGGAAGAAUAAGGACCGGCUAACUACGUGCCAGCAGCCGCCGUAA